CGGAUGGAAGGUGGGAAGGAACCGCGGAAGGCUGGCGUGCGUGGAGUGUUCUGGAAGGGCUCCGGGUGGCCGGCCAUGUUUGAGCCUGGCAAGAGCGGCGGGGUUCCAGAAGGGACUACCUUCCUUUUGCACGGACUAAGCCAAUCACAAUAGCGACCUUUGGCUUCUUGGCUAAAAACGACCCCGGGAGGAAAAAAUUUUAAGUACUCACGAAGUUCCGUCCUUGGAGACACGGAAGACUGGGGCGUGCAGAGGAACACAGGCUGCUAAAUACGAAACAAUCAUAAGACGAACCCAAGACAGGCUGUUAGCCACUGCCGGGUUCUAAGGUAGCAAAGAGUAGUGACAACGAUCUGGUUACUCGAUAGGAAGCCGGAAAUUCACCUGCCAAACCAAGUUCUGGGGAAGCAGAAAAUAAAACCGGAAGACCAACAAGGUGUAUGACAGUAGCCCCAAAUCUGAGCGAGCCAUUGUUUCCUCCUCACCAUGUUCCUUCUCCACCCUCAUUGACUCAUCUUGUUCUCCACCCGUCUCUUGAUCCCCCCCCCUUUUCCCUCCUACACAUGUUUUCUGUUCACCUGGGUUGAACAUGUUGAGAACUGAAUCCCCAAUUUCCCUUCUCAAACCUGUUUAUCCUCCGGUAUCCUUACAUCUGUUCAUGACACCGUAAGCCACCCACUAAUCCCAGCUAGAAGGGUGAACGUCAUCCACUCAAGCCUCACCACUCCUCCAGCCUCCCACUUCCAGUCCACAUACUGAGCCUUUUCAUCUGCUUAUUACCCCCUAAAACGUCUUGUCUGUCCCAUCCUUUCCACUCCCACUGCCACUGCCUGAGUUGAGACGCUCCUUAUGUCUCUGCGAAACUCUUGCAUCUACUCCCUAAUUAAUUUCUCUGCCCUUCAGCCUCACCUGUUCUCAGCCUCCUCAGGCUGAAGUGAUCCAAAUGCAAAUCUGAACAUGCCAUUCCCACAACGAAGGCAUGGCGUAGAUAUGGUCAAAGCUGCCUAACAUAGAGCGCAAACAGAAGAUGGGAGCUACUGCUGACCUCUUCCUAUAAUUCCCUCUCCUCCCUCCCUCAUCUUUCUGUCCUCCUCCCUCUCGGCUCUCUUCUUUAUAAAAACUUCUUACAUUAUGAAUAUGCAUUGUCUGUGUGUAAGUGCAAAUGGGUGCAAGCGGCCUUGGAGGCCAGAAGAGGGCACCAGAUCCCCUGUCCCGGGAUUACAGGUGGCUGUGAGCUGCAGGACAUGGGUACAUCAGAACUAGCAGUCUCUGGAAGAGCAGCAAGCACUCUAAACCACCGAGCCAUCUCUCCAGCCUGCUCUCCCCAUGUUGGUUAUGUUUCUGACUCUACUUCCCCAAAUGUCCCUGUUCUUUUUCAUGGUUCCUGACUUUGUAUUAGUUCCUCGACUGGGAACCAUCUGCCGUCUGAUGCAUCCCCAAAACAGAACUCAGAAUUUCCUUUUGUAGAAUACAUUCCCAGACCUCAUUCCUGUGUUCCAGACUUGUACUUCUCAAGCCUUCCUUUGAACACGAUCCGAAGUUAUUAAAACAGGUUCACAGUCAGGCCUGCUGGCUGGAGGCUGGGAAUGUCCGUUCUAACAAACCUCCAGAAGCAGCAGCAGCUAGAAAACCACACUGUAAGGAGCAAGGCCUUACAGCGCUGUCUCCCUGCAGUAACUAAUGUGGCUUCAUGCCCUCUUCAUUCAAAUCUUUUGCAAUUAUAAGGUCUUUACACCCUUGGUGUCAAGCGCAUGUGUUUCCUGAGCAAAACUCAACUCUCCCUCGACGUUUCUAAUGCUUCUCUUAUUAUCAUCUUUCUCCCAAUUUACCUUCUGCCGAAAGAAGAUUUUGUAACCUGAGGUCCUAAGACCUUAGUAUGGCUGAAAAGUGAUGAACAUUUGAUCACUGUCUUCUCUCUCUCUCUCUCUCUCUCUCUCUCUCUCUCUCUAUCUAUCUAUCUAUCUCGUGUGUGUCUGUCUGUCUGUCUAUAUCACCUCCUUCCCCUCACCUUUCCUUCCUUCCCCUGGAAGAGAAAAUGGCGAGAUGAGGAGCUACUAAGCGCAGUCUGAGACUUGUACUUUGGGCAAUAUAUCCAUAUCUCUUCUCCCAUCCCCUCUUUCUCAGCCAGGAAGCUUUACUUAGACAGCUGGCCAUAUGGAAUCACACCUGGUGUCUUAGUUACUUUUCCAUUUGCUGUAAA